UGCAGUCGAGCGAGAAAGUGACUUCGGUCGCGAGUAAAGCGGCGAACGGGUGAGUACAACGUGGAUAAUCUACCCUAGGGUCUGGGACAACCCCGAGAAAUCGGGGCUAAUACCGGAUAAGACCACAGUAUCCAAGGAUACAGCGGUAAAAGAUUUAUCGCCUUUGGAUGAGUCCACGCCCCAUCAGGUAGUUGGUAAGGUAAAGGCUUACCAAGCCUAAGACGGGUAGCCGGCCUUAGCGGGUGAACGGCCACAUGGGGACUGAGACACGGCCCUGACUCCUACGGGAGGCAGCAGUGGGGAAUAUUGGGCAAUGGGCGAAAGCCUGACCCAGCGAUGCCGCGUGAGGGAUGAAGGCCUUCGGGUUGUAAACCUCUGUCAGGAGGGACGAUGGGACACUUGUGUCUUGACGGUACCUCCAGAGGAAGCCCCGGCUAACUCCGUGCCAGCAGCCGCGGUAAUACGGAGGGGGCAAGCGUUGCUCGGAAUUACUGGGCGUAAAGGGUCCGCAGGCUGUCAGGCAAGUUGGUUGUGAAAUCCCAAGGCUUAACCUUGGAAUUGCAUCCAAAACUGCCUGACUAGAGUCCAAGAGAGGUUGGCGGAAUUCCCGGUGUAGCGGUGAAAUGCAUAGAUAUCGGGAGGAACACCAGAGGCGAAGGCGGCCAACUGGCUUGGUACUGACGCUCAGGGACGAAAGCGUGGGUAGCAAACCGGAUUAGAUACCCGGGUAGUCCACGCCCUAAACGAUGGAUGCUAGGUAGGGGGAAUUUAAUUCUCCCUGCCGUAGUUAACGCAUUAAGCAUCCCGCCUGGGGAGUACGGUCGCAAGGCUGAAACUCAAGGAAUUGGC
rnacentral:rRNA from 1 species